GAAAAGAAACUAACAAGGAUUCCCCUAGUAACUGCGAGUGAAGCGGGAAGAGCUCAAAUUUUGAAUCUGGCGGUCUUUGGCCGUCCGAGUUGUAAUCUAGAGAAGCGUUUUCCGCGUUGGACCGUGUACAAGUCUCCUGGAAGGGAGCGUCAUAGAGGGUGAGAAUCCCGUCUUUGACACGGACUACCAGUGCUAUGUGAUGCGCUCUCGACGAGUCGAGUUGUUUGGGAAUGCAGCUCAAAACGGGUGGUAAAUUCCAUCUAAAGCUAAAUACAGGCGAGAGACCGAUAGCGAACAAGUACCGUGAGGGAAAGAUGAAAAGAACUUUGGAAAGAGAGUUAAACAGUACGUGAAAUUGCUGAAAGGGAAACGCUUGAUGUCAGUCGCGUCGGCCAGGGAUCAACCUUGCUUCAUCGCUGGGUGCAUUUCCUGGUCGAUGGGUCAGCAUCAGUUUCGAUCGCCGUACAAUGAUGACGGGAAUGUGGCACUCUUCGGAGUGUGUUAUAGCCUUUCAUCGUAUGCGGUGUUUGGGACUGAGGAACUCGGCACGACUUUCAGUUUGUGUCUAGGAUGCUGGCAUAAUGGCCUUAAGCGACCCGUCUUGAAACACGGACCAAGGAGUCUAACAUGCCUGCGAGUGUUUGGGUGGCAAACCCGGGCGCGUAAUGAAAGUGAAAGUCGAGACCUCUGUCGUGGA
rnacentral:rRNA from 1 species